rnacentral:rRNA from 1 species
UGGGGAAUAUUGGACAAUGGGCGCAAGCCUGAUCCAGCCAUGCCGCGUGAGUGAUGAAGGCCCUAGGGUUGUAAAGCUCUUUCACCGGUGAAGAUAAUGACGGUAACCGGUGAAGAAGCCCCGGCUAACUUCGUGCCAGCAGCGGCGGUAAUACGAAGGGGGCUAGCGUUGUUCGGAUUUACUGGGCGUAAAGCGCACGUAGGCGGACUUUUAAGUCAGGGGUGAAAUCCCGGGGCUCAACCCCGGAACUGCCUUUGAUUCUGGAAGUCUUGAGUAUGGUAGAGGUGAGUGGAAUUCCGAGUGUAGAGGUGAAAUUCGUAGAUAUUCGGAGGAACACCAGUGGCGAAGGCGUCUCGCUGGACCAUUACUGACGCUGAGGUGCGACAGCGUGUCGAGCAAACAGG